ensembl:snRNA U6 U6 spliceosomal RNA
GUGCUGCCAAAGUGAGCACAUAUACUAAAAUUGAAAUCAUACAGAGAAAAUUAGCAUGGCCCCUACGCAAGAGGACAUGCAAAUUCAUGGAGCAACAGAAACUGGU